rnacentral:rRNA from 1 species
CACGUAGGGCGCGAGCGUUGUCCGGAAUUAUUGGGCGUAAAGAGCUCGUAGGCGGCCUGUUGCGUCCGCUGUGAAAGCCCGGGGCUUAACCCCGGGUCUGCAGUGGAUACGGGCAGGCUAGAGGUAGGUAGGGGAGAAUGGAAUUCCCGGUGUAGCGGUGAAAUGCGCAGAUAUCGGAAGGAACACCGGUGGCGAAGGCGGUUCUCUGGGCCUUACCUGACGCUGAGGAGCGAAAGCGUGGGGAGCGAACAGG